rnacentral:rRNA from 1 species
GACGAAGGGGGCUAGCGUUGUUCGGAAUUACUGGGCGUAAAGCGCGUGUAGGCGGUUGCCCAAGUCGGGUGUGAAAGCCUUGAGCUCAACUCAAGAAAUGCACUCGGUACUGGGUGACUAGAGGACCGGAGAGGAUAGUGGAAUUCCCAGUGUAGUGGUGAAAUACGUAGAUAUUGGAAGGAACACCAGUGGCGCAAGCGGCUAUCUGGACGAGUAUUGACGCUGAGGCACGAAAGCGUGGGGAUCAAACAGG